rnacentral:lncRNA from 1 species
UCCAUAUCUAGAAAGGUGAAGGUAAAUAGCACAGAAUAUGACAAAAAUAAUUUUAACAGGCAAAACACAAGAACAGUGGUCACAAUGGAGAAGAGAAAGGCUUUUAAUUUAGUGAGUCAUUUAACAUACUGAUUUCAGUUACCUACACAUAUAGCAUUUAUAAAAUUAAUAAUUUUAAGGGUUCAUUAGAGAUAAAACAGAUCAUCUGUGUGCACAAAGCACUAAGUAUAGUAUCAUUUUAAACUAUGGUGUAUGAUAAUUAGAUAGCCCAGUAUCCUUUUAAAAUAACAUUACCAAAUGUUAACAGUGAAGAGCGAGGGCCUGAAGAUAUAGCUUAGACAGCGAGGUGUUUGCCGUGCAAGCCUGAGGCUCUGAGCAUCCAUGUAACAAUCUGGGUUAUGACUAUGAGCACCCACAACCCUAGUGGUGGACAGGCAAAGACAGGAGGCUCCCUGGGACUUUGUGGUCAGCAUCUCUGACAGAAUUGUUGAGCUGUAGGUUCGAUGAGAGACCAUGUCUCAAAAAAUAAGGUAAUGAUUCAGGAAGGCAACCCUAUGUAGACCUCUGGCCUUCACAGGCAUAGGCAUGUGGACAGGAAUUUGCACACACACACAGACUACACUCUGUCUCUGUCUCUCUCACACACACAUAAACACACACACACAAUGAUAAUAAGACUAUAUGAAACUAUGCUAAACCCUGUGCUAAAUGACUUCCUAUCCAGUGUUUUUUGUUUCCUAUCCAGUGAAGUGAACAUCACUACCCUCACUGGUGUUGAAGGAAGUUAUAUUGAUUGCUUAAGGACAAAGUACCCAAUGUGUGGCAGAGUUGCUGAUUGGUCUUAGGACUGAAGCCAGAGCUUGGUUGCUUAGCCACUGGGCCUUGAGAGAGCAGCACCCACAUGUUGCCGUACACAGUGUUUCAAAAAUGAUUCCAUGUGCAUAAUUUGCUGACCCACAUAACCUUUCUUCCAACACAGAGAGUCCUUAAAUUUGGAUGCUGAAUGUCAUCUGGAAGGUGCAUUUUUUUUAACCUUACCUUGCUUUACAGCAUUCUGGUUGCAUAUUAGAGAUUAAUGGUGUUUUAGUAGACAUCCCAUAUCAGGCAUGCAUAGAAAUGCAGUUUUGUUCCCGGUGAAUGAACAAAGAAGAGCCCAUGAUUGAAUAUCAGUGAACCUUGGAGCCAGGCUAUUUCUAACUCUUUUCCCAAUGAAAGUUGUUACUAAUUAUUAUUGUACAUAUAACAUACAUAUAAUUAUAUAUAAUAUACAAUGUAUAAUGUACUAAAUAAUAUGUAAUAUGUUAUAUAAUAUAAUGUAUAAUAUGCUAUAUAUGUGUAAUAUGUAGUAAUAUAGAAUAAAUAUAUUAUUUGCAAUUAUAUAUUAUAUUUAUAAGUAUUAUAUGCAAUAAAUAUACUAUUAUAGAAAUCUAACAUAUAUUGUAUUUUUUUGAGUUGGGGCCCUGCUACCUAUCCCUGGUUGGUCUGGCUGCCUGGAACUCUCUUCAUAGCUUAGACUGGCCUCAAACUCAUGCAUGAUAUUCCUGACUCCAGGUCAUAAAGAUGGUCUUAUAGGCAUGUACCCCUAUACUCAGCCCAUGGAGCAAGACUUAAAUUACUAUACCUUGUAGCUUACUUUUGGACAAUAGACAUUACAAUACUCCAUGCCCGACUAAGGCCUUGAAAGAUGCUGUGAAUUCAGAUACAUGAAGCACAGAUUUAGUGCCUGACCUCUUGCAAGUGUCCAGUGUUAGGUAUCAUCACACAGGAGUCUAAAAAGGCAAGCUUGCAAUGGCCCAAGAGCUACUUGGCUUCUAGAGAAUAAAGCUUCAUUGUUUCUUUUCAAUACUGGUAUUUUCUUAUUUCAAUCCCUCAUCUUUUUGUGCAUUUUGUUUCCCCCUUCCUUUUUUGAAUGUAGAAAUAGAUGUGUAAAAUUCAAGCGUUCAUAUGAGCAUCUAAUUCAAUUAUGAAUUCUUGCUGGACUCCGUGUUUCCUGCCCUCACUCCAAACCUCCCAGCACAUACACUCCCAUGCCAUUCAAAUCAGGUGUAAUGGUCCUGUCUUCCUGUGCCUUAACUUUUGAAAGAGAAAACAAGAUUAAUAAAUUAUGAUCAUAUGUACAUAUUUGCUUUCUGUGGCUGAAAGAGGAUAUCUUUAUACCCUUUUAAAAGCUCAUGACACUGAUGUGUUCUCAAUGUUCAAGUAAUGAUAUUUGCACAGUUUGGCCCAGUUAUAGAGCAUAGAUAUAUUCACUUCUGUUUAAUCCUACUUAUUCUAUAAUGGAGGUUAGGGGAUCAUAAAGGGUUAGUCACAUUUGGACAGUAUGUGCUUGUUUUCUUGGUGUGUGUCACUGUUUAAAUGGCAAGUUCUUGACUUUAUUCGUUGUAAUAUGUCUCAGAGAGGUACAUUGUGCUGAGAACUUGAGCGAGUGGAGAGUAGUGGAAAAUCCUGAGGCUGACAAGGACCAAAUUCACCACCAUCCAUUGCCAGCCGGUGGCUAGCACCCUAUUUGUGAAUAGACGAGGCUGAGGGCGCACUGGUUUUCCUUCUACUUUCUUAGCUAGAACCAAGAGAUGAUUUUAAGAUUGGAAAAGAAAUACUUGGUUAUGAAGCUGGGGAUUACGAUCGGAUCAGUCCCCAGCUUAUCCAUCUUAAAUCUCCAUUUGGUCAAAGCGGAAUGCAUUUUGGAUUAGCAGCCUUUGGGGUUAUCUAAUUCUCUGUUGCUUCCUAUUACCAUCGACUGUACUUGGACUUUUUAAAAUCCCUGCUCUCCAUUUAGAUUGAGGUCUCCCAAGAAAGAAUCACCUUCAUCUACAGGCAAGGAGAUUAAGGAUCUGGAGCACAGAACUGCUCAAAGGGACAAUUUCUGCUUAAGUCCUUAGGAAUUUAUGACUAUUACUGUGAGUUAAAUCCUGAUAGUGCCAGUAGGGAUAGCUGAGACUUUUGACACUAAUUGACUAAUUGUGUUAACCAUAAAACCAAAAUGAUCUUAUGUUGUUCUCUAGGCCGGUGUUAAUCCCAACUCCAGUAUGAAAUGUGGCUGUCAUAAGGUUUUUCGCUUAUUUAAAAUCAAUUUACUGAGUUCUUGGAGGGGUUUGCUUUUUAUUUUGUGUUGACAUGAGCAAUAUAUUGGCAGAGUAUAUUAUAAGAAAAAUUAAGAGACUUGAUGCCAUUUCUAAUAUGAUCUGAUAUUUAUAAGAAAAAUACUGUUUUUUGUUUGUUUGGUAAAUUUUUCCUUUGUUUUAUGUUGAGAAACCAUAGAAUAUGUAACCCCAUCUGGCCUCAAAAUGAUAAUUCUCCUGCCUCAGCUUCUCAAAUGCUGCCAUCAAUGGCAUGAGUCACCAUGUCUGGAAGAAGAUUUGC